rnacentral:lncRNA from 1 species
ACGUGACCUUUAUAUAUAUAUAUAUAUAUGCUAAAUGUUUAAGUGUUAUUUUCUUUCAAUUGUUUAAUCACUUCACACAUUCAGCUCUCUCUAUCUCCAACCUUUAUCUUCCUUUCCAAAACCCUCCUUCUCCCUUCCAAAACCCUAGCUCCAUUAUCACUCACCCAAAGUUACUUAUCCCACUAUAUAUCUUUCAGCUCAUCAUACUCCAUUUUCAACCAAUUCAGAAAACCCUUUCCUAAACCCUAACCUUCAAAAUCUCCAUGGCUCCUAGGGGAAGAAGAAAA